rnacentral:rRNA from 1 species
GACGAACGCUGGCGGCGCGCUUAACGCAUGCAAGUCGAACGGAAAGGCCUGCUUUCCCUUGUGGAUUGCGGGUACUCGAGUGGCGAACGGGUGAGUAACACGUGAGUGAUCUGCCCCCAACUUGGGUAUAAGCCUGGGAAACUGGGUCUAAUUCCCGAUAGGACUGCAGGGUGGUGCCUGUGGUGGAAAACGAUUUUCUAGUGGUUGGGGAUGAGCUCGCGGCCUAUCAGCUUGUUGGUGGGGUAAUGGCCUACCAAGGCGGCGACGGGUAGCCGGCCUGGGAGGGUGGACGGCCACAUUGGGACUGAGAUACGGCCCAGACUCCUACGGGAGGCAGCAGUGGGGAAUAUUGCACAAUGGGCGGAAGCCUGAUGCAGCGACGCCGCGUGGGGGAUGACGGCCUUCGGGUUGUAAACUCCUUUCGACCGCGAGGAAGCCACCUGGUUGGAAGGGUGGUGACGGUAGUGGUAGAAGAAGCACCGGCUAACUACGUG